UGAUGUCCUACUCAGCAUCCAUCAGCCCACAUAUGUCCCCACAUAAUAUCUUCGUGAGAUGAAUGUGAACCUCUGAGUAAAUAUUUUUAUGUUAUUUCACAGGGCCACUAAUCAUUAUCUGCAAGCAUCAUCUAGUGCAGUGAUGGCGAACCUUUUGAGCUCAGCCUGUCAGCAUUUUGAAAAACCCUAACUUAACUCUGGUGCCGUGUCACAUAUAGAAAUUUUUUGAUAUUUGCAACCAUAGUAAAACAAAGACUUAUAUUUUUGAUAUUUAUUUUAUAUAUUUAAAUGCCAUUUAACAAAGAAAAAUCAACCAAAAAAAAUGAUUCGCCAUCACCGUCCUAGAGGGUAGGCCUUCCCCAUCUGCAGAGCCCCGAGCCCCGGCGCACAGCAGCUGUGGAAGGCAGUGGGCGCGGGGCCAGGGGCACUCGGAGUUCACACAGCAGGUGCACGGCUGCUGCUUCGCGGGGACCCGGCAGGGCGUGCCCCGGGGGACGGCCACAUUCUCCAGGUGCCUUCCGCUUCCGCCAGAGAUAAAGAGGUCAGCGAAGGACACCACUAACAAACUCAGCCACAAACUCAGCCACGUGAAAAGCCCAGCCCAAAGCUGAUGAAGCCCAAGAGGAACUAAAAGGCCGAGAAGGCCUGUCUGGGCUUUCGGGUGGCUAAGGUUCGGUCACGGCAUCCCCUGUUUGUAGGCUGCCUGGCUUCUUAGCCCUUGAUGGGCCAUAAAAUUUAUAUUCAAUAAAAUUCUGUGUAAAUCUGAUUUUUAAAAAUGAUUCAAGCCUGGCUGGCGUGGCUCAGUGGUUGAGCACUGACCUAUGAAGCAGGAGGUCAUGGUUCAAUUCCCGGUCAGCGCACAUGCCCGGGUUGCGGGCUCGCCCAAUGGGGGCGUGCAGGAGGCAGCCAAUCAAUGAUUCUCUCUCAUCAUUGAUGUUUCUGUCUCUCUCUUCCUCUC